AGAAGGUAUCUACAGUAUCGA
rnacentral:misc_RNA from 1 species